AUUGAACGCUGGCGGCAUGCCUUACACAUGCAAGUCGGACGGUAACGGGCCUUCGGGUGCCGACGAGUGGCGAACGGGUGAGUAAUAUAUCGGAACGUACCUUUCAGUGGGGGAUAACGUAGCGAAAGUUACGCUAAUACCGCAUAUUCUGUGCGCAGGAAAGCAGGGGACCUUCGGGCCUUGCGCUGAUUGAGCGGCCGAUAUCAGAUUAGCUAGUUGGUGAGGUAAAGGCUCACCAAGGCGACGAUCUGUAGCGGGUCUGAGAGGAGGAUCCGCCACACUGGAACUGAGACACGGUCCAGACUCCUACGGGAGGCAGCAGUGGGGAAUUUUGGACAAUGGGGGCAACCCUGAUCCAGCCAUGCCGCGUGAGUGAAGAAGGCCUUCGGGUUGUAAAGCUCUUUCGGCCGGGAAGAAAUCGUAUGGGCUAAUACCCUGUGCGGAUGACGGUACCGGCAUAAGAAGCACCGGCUAACUACGUGCCAGCAGCCGCCGCGGUAA
rnacentral:rRNA from 1 species